UACGAAGGGGCUAGCGUUGUUCGGAUUUACUGGGCGUAAAGCGUGCGCAGGCGGUUUUGUAAGACUGUCGUGAAAUCCCCGGGCUUAACCUGGGAAUGGCGAUGGUGACUGCAAGGCUAGAGUUUGGCAGAGGGGGGUAGAAUUCCACGUGUAGCAGUGAAAUGCGUAGAGAUGUGGAGGAACACCGAUGGCGAAGGCAGCCCCCUGGGUCAAGAUUGACGCUCAUGCACGAAAGCGUGGGGAGCAAACAGG
rnacentral:rRNA from 1 species